UACGUAGGGAGCGAGCGUUGUCCGGAAUUACUGGGUGUAAAGGGUGCGUAGGCGGGAUCGUAAGUCAGGCGUGAAAUACCGGAGCUUAACUCCGGGGCUGCGUUUGAAACUACGAUUCUUGAGUGAAGUAGAGGCAGGCGGAAUUCCUAGUGUAGCGGUGAAAUGCGUAGAUAUUAGGAGGAACACCAGUGGCGAAGGCGGCCUGCUGGGCUUUAACUGACGCUGAGGCACGAAAGCAUGGGGAGCAAACAGG
rnacentral:rRNA from 1 species